GACGAACGCUGGCGGCGUGCUUAACACAUGCAAGUCGAGCGGUAAGGCUCCUUCGGUAGUACACGAGCGGCGGACGGGUGAGUAACACGUGCGUAAUCUGCCCUUCCCUUCGGGAUAACCACCGGAAACGGAGGCUAAUACUGAAUACGACCAGUCUUCGCAUCAGGUGCUGGCGGUAGGUCUUUUCGGUGAAGGUUGUGCUCGCGGCCUAUCAGCUUGUUGGUGGGGUAAUGGCCUACCAAGGCUUCGACGGGUAGCCGGCCUGAGAGGGUGACCGGCCACACUGGGACUGAGACACGGCCCAGACUCCUACGGGGGGCAGCAGUGGGGAAGAUUGGACAAUGGGCGAAAGCCUGAUCCAGCAACGCCGCGGGAGGGAUGACGGCCGUCGGGUUGUAAACCUCUUGCAGUACCGACGAAGCGCCCUGGCGGGUGGUGACGGUAGGUACAGAAGAAGGACCGGCCAACUACGUG
rnacentral:rRNA from 1 species